rnacentral:lncRNA from 13 species
AGUUCCCUAGCGUGUUUGGCUACCUGCAGCUUGUGUGAAGUGACACAAGGUCCAGGACCGUUCCUUACAAGGAAUGCAUCUCUUUUUCUUGGGCAGGUUACUCAGGCUGGAGGGUUUCUUCAGGCUACUUAUUUCUACCUUCCCCCACUACAGCAGACCCUACGCCUAUCCUGUAAAUAGAAACAGAAACAGCUUUUUCUGAAAGCUUUAAAAGAAGCUCUGUCAACUGUUAUUUCAAGUCAUCAGGUUGUCCUUCAGACUCAAGGCUGAUGCACUGAGCUCAGGAGGUGAAGGCACUGGUCCUGCAGGUUCUGCUCUGCCUGUGUGAAAGAGGUCUGUGCCAGAUACUUUUGCUACUUGGGUUGAUGUUGGCAUUUUUUGGCUUCUGAGGAAGCACGAGUGUGGUCUGGAGGACUAGCACAGACUGCUCUGCCUCAGCUGGAAAGACGUGCCUGCCCCAGGUACCUGGUGUAGCUG